GCUACGUGUGGCAGCAGUGGGGGAUAUUGCACAAUGGGGGAAACCCUGAUGCAGCGAUGCCGCGUGAAUGAAGACGGCCUUCGGGGUGUAAAGUUCUGUCGCAGGGGACGAAAAUGACGGUACCCUGCAAGAAAGCUCCGGCUAACGACGUGCCAGCAGCCGCGGUAAUCCGUAGGGAGCAAGCGUUGUCCGGAAUUACUGGGUGUAAAGGGCGCGUCGGCGGGAGGAGAAGUUGAAUGUGAAAUCUCUGGCCUCACCCCAUAGCUGCGUUCGAAACUGGUCUUCUUGAGUGCAGUAGGGGCCGGCGGAAUUCCUAGUGUAGCGGUGAAAUGCUUCGAUAUUAGGAGGAACACCAGUGGCGAAGGCGGCCUGCUGGGCUUUUACUGACGCUGAGGCUC
rnacentral:rRNA from 1 species